rnacentral:misc_RNA from 1 species
AAGUCGUAACAAGGUUUCCGUAGGUGAACCUGCGGAAGGUAGGUCCACACGACCGGCGACCGGGGUGGAGGCGAAAGCCCCUACGUCAUCCCUAUGUACCCUCCGGGACUUGGCGAAAGCUGACUCCGUCAUAAAUCGAACAACUGUUAACAAUUCUC